rnacentral:lncRNA from 1 species
GCAUGAAAUUGCAGGGGAAGUGACAGAAGUUGGUAGCAAAGUAAGAAAGGUUAAAGUGGGAGAUAAAGUUGGAGUUGGAUGCAUGGUUGGUGCAUGCCACAGCUGCGAGAGCUGUGCCAAUGACCUUGAAAAUUACUGUCCGAAAAUGAUACUCACCUACAGUUCCAUUAACACUGACGGAACAAUCACAUUCGGAGGCUACUCUGAUCACAUGGUUGCCAAUGAGCGCUACAUUGUUCGAUUCCCUGAUAGCAUGCCCCUUGAUGCUGCUGCUCCUCUGCUUUGCGCCGGGAUUACCGUGUACAGUCCAUUGAAAUACUUUGGACUAGCAGAACAAGGAAAGCAUGUAGGCAUCGUUGGCCUUGGCGGGCUUGGUCAUGUCGCUGUCAAAUUUGCCAAGGCUUUUGGGGCCAAAGUGACAGUAAUUAGCACCUCUCCAAGCAAGAAGACUGAAGCUCUUGAACAUCUUGGCGCUGAUUCAUUUUUGAAUAGCCGUGACCCUGACCAAUUGCAGGUAAUUUAAUUAGAUUCACGCAUAUAUUGGAGAAAAAUAAAAAAUAAAAUGCAUUCCUUAAUUUUAAUAUAUAUUUUGUAAUAACUUCAUCAGGGUGCCAUGGGCACAUUGGAUGGUAUUAUUGACACGGUGUCCGCUGUGCACCCCAUUUUGCCAUUGCUCGGUCUAUUAAAGUCCCAGGGCAAGCUUGUUCUGGUUGGUGCUCCGGACAAGCCACUCGAGCUACCUGUGAUUUCCUUAAUUAUGGGUAAGUUCUAACAAAAUUCUUCGGAAACUUGUGGUCUAAAACUUGUAAUUAAUAUAAUUCAUUUGAUAACAUAAAAUGACAUAGCAGGGAGGAAGACGGUGUCAGGGAGCAGCACUGGGGGAAUGAAAGAGACGCAAGAGAUGAUUGAUUUUGCAGCAAAACACAAUAUAACAGCUGACAUUGAGGUUAUUUCGAUGGAUUAUGUCAAUACGGCAAUGGAGCGGCUCGCCAAGGCUGAUGUUCGGUAUCGAUUUGUCAUUGAUAUUGCAAACACCUUGGCCGCCACCAAACCUUGAAGAAUCAGAAUCAGAAUCAGAUUGGUGUCUUCAAUUCACAACUUUGUUCCAUGAUCCACUUUGCUAUAUGUAAUGCUCCCUCGAUCAUUACACUCUUUUAGCGCUUAAAUUACUUUUAAUUUCCAGUUACAUCACCCUAAUUAUGUCGUGAUUGCCAAAAAACUAUAAAUGUUAAUGAAAUAAAACAUUGUUCAUAUAAAAUAUUUAGCAUAUGUACCUUUCACCAAUUGUCCAGUUGAAAAGUUUGUUUUGUUCUAAAUCACAUAUAGAGUUUUGCUCUCAUGCGGCACUUUUCAUUUUUUUUUUCUUCUCGUACCAACACUAUCAAGUCGUAUAAUUCAAUAAAAUUAGUAUAGAUGGCAGAAAUCUAUAAAAUCAUAUUUGCAAAGGUAUGUAGCAACAGCAGCGUCUAGGUUCCUCUGACCUUGAACAAAAAUAUACGAUUGUCCUAAAUGGCUCAUGAAUUCAUAUCACAAUUUUCAACGCUGCAUAUAUGUUUUCCAACAGAAAAUUUCUCUGGAUUAGGGUUUAGUGUUAUGUUAAAUUUUUAUCGAGUAUUGAAUCAAUCAUUGAAUUAAUAGUUAAAAUUGUUUUAAAUUUUUAAAUUUUUACAAUUUCUCCUAUUAAUAACUAUUGAUUCAAUAUCCAGUAAAAAUUUAAUUUAGCACGUAAUCCUUAUUCGACUUUGCAACCAAAGAAAACAAACAAAACUUCAUCGGUCAAUGGAAGCAUUUUCUUAGGACCUCACGGUUCACCCCCAAUGUUGAUGCAUGAUGGAUGAUUCUAUCAAGAUGAAUAUAGUUCAAGUUUUACCACCCCAUCAAAUCUAUCAUGAAAUUUCAUUUAUUCUUUUUUUUUUUUGUAGAUCUUAAUAUGUACUAUGAUUGAAAAAGAGAGAGAGAGAGAGAAUAGUAAAAUCCAUAUCUAAAAUGGUAUGUGGUAUGUAUAUAGUAGUACAUGAUCUAUAAUGGUAUGUAUAUGAUGUACAUGAUAUGAUCUAAGCUCUGCUUGUGCUACCUAUAUUUUAGUGUUAGUAUAUAAUUAGAAUUUAACUACCUUUAUUUUUUAAUUUGUUAAUUACCAAUCACUUUAAUAAAAUAUAAAACUUACUAGGGGUGGUAAUAUGGGUCAGGAUUCGUUUAUUCGAUUCGAUUCGAUGCGAAUUAAAUGGGUUUGGGUUUGAAAAAAAUUGAUUCGUUUAAUAAAUGGAUGAAUUCGAUUUGAUUCGUUAAUUAAACGAAUCGAAUGCGGGUUUGAAAAUUUACAUUCGUUUAUUCGUUUAGAAUUCAUUUAAUAAAUGGGUCAUAAACGAAUCGAAUACAGGUCGAUUCGUUUAUUAUUCGUUUAAUUAAAUUACUUUUUUAUCCUUAAAUUUAUUUGAAAGCUUUUUAAAAUUUGAAGGUUAAUAUUGUAAUUUUAAGCAAAUAACAAAAAAAAAAAAAACCAAAGUAGCGGAAACCCAAAUGCUAAAUCCCUAAAAAUUCUCCCCUCACUCAGCCGCUCUCGUUGCUCUAUGCCUCUCUCACACGAAUCACACUCACCCACCCAUACCAAGUGAAGCAAUCAAGCAACAAAAACAACCGCCGGUAGCCACUGUCAUUAACUCACAGGGAACUGACGAUUACAACCACCAUCGUUCAUCUAUCGUCGAUUGAGCUUGAGGGACGCAGCCACGCGAGUGCAGCCCGCGACUCGGCAGCAACCCAGGAGCAUCAGCUGCGCAACGUAUUAGCAGCCACUCGAACCCACAGUAGUGGCUAACCCGUGCGGCGGUGCAGCAGCAGCAAACCCAGGCGACUGCGACCCGAACUAGUGCCCAGGCGACCCGAAUCAACAAGCCAUCACCAACUCAGAGUAAUAUCAUGAGAUUAUGGUUGAAUUAUUGAGAAAUUUUGUAUUGUAGAAUAUUAUGAGAUUAUGGUUUAGAAAAUGUUUGGGAAAUUUACAAAAUUAGCCAUAAAACUUUUACGUUUUUCAACUUUAACCCCCCAAAGUUUUUUCUAUCAUAACUAGCCAAACACCUUAUGUUUGGACUACAUUACCCUCAUCACUUUCAUCAAAUUUACAAAGCCAUGCCACUUUUUCAAAUUUACAAAGCCAUGGCACCUGUUCCAUUGCUUGUCGCGCAAAAACCCAUGGAUUUUAUGGAGUACAUGAUUUUGGAUUUGAUUUGUCUCGUCGUAAGCUUCGAAACGGUAUAUUAUACGCCUAAAACGAACAUAUAUAGCUCAAGUUAUGGCUUUCGAAACAUAUAUGAAAUUUAGUGAGACAGGCAAGUGGGACAGGUGCUUGUCGCACAUAAACGCACUGCAUUUAUGUGCGAUAGGCACCUGUCCCACUGCUUGUCGCACAUAAACUCACGGCGUUUAUGGAAUGCAUGAUUUUGGAUUUGAUUUGUCUCGUCGUAAGCUUCGAAACGGUAUAUUAUACGCCUAAAACGGACAUAUAUAGCUCAAGUUAUGGCUUUCGAAACAUAUAUGAAAUUUAGUGAGACAGGCACCUGUCCCACUUGCCUGUCUCACUAAAUUUCAUAUAUGUUUCGAAAGCCAUAACUUGAGCUAUAUAUGUCCGUUUUAGGCGUAUAAUAUACCGUUUCGAAGCUUACGACGAGACAAAUCAAAUCCAAAAUCAUGCAUUCCAUAAACGUCGUGAGUUUAUGUGCGACAAGCAGUGGGACAGGUGCCUAUCGCACAUAAAUGCAGUGCGUUUAUGUGCGACAGGCACCUGUCCCACUUGCCUGUCUCACUAAAUUUCAUAUAUGUUUCGAAAGCCAUAACUUGAGCUAUAUAUGUUCGUUUUAGGCGUAUAAUAUACCGUUUCGAAGCUUACGACGAGACAAAUCAAAUCCAAAAUCAUGUACUCCAUAAAAUCCAUGGGUUUAUGCGCGACAAGCAAUGGAACAGGUGCCAUGGCUUUGUAAAUUUGAAAAAGUGGCAUGGCUUUGUAAAUUUGAUGAAAGUGAUGAGGGUAAUGUAGUCCAAACAUAAGGUGUUUGGCUAGUUAUGAUAGAAAAAACUUUGGGGGGUUAAAGUUGAAAAACGUAAAAGUUUUAUGGCUAAUUUUGUAAAUUUCCCAAAAUGUUUUGUAUUGUUCGGAAAAUAUUAUGAAAUUAUGUAUAAAUCGAUUAUGGUGUUAAAAAUUAUCUGUAGGAUAAGGAAGAAGCUCCCACAAAUAUUGGAUUAAAAUUUUUUUUAGUAUUAGAAUUUAUAAUUUAUUAUGUUGUAUUGUUAAUAUUUUGUGUAUUGGAAUAUUGUGCAUUAGGAAUAUUGCCGGGUUAGAAUUUGGCAUACAUGAUGAAUAGAUUCGUGGUCUUGGUAAUGGUGCUUGAAAGUGAUUAUGUAUGUUAAUUUCUCUGUUAGACUUUUUCUUUGAUUUAUUAGUUUAUGAACAUGAGCACUAAUUGUGCUCCAUCUGUAGAGAGUGCAAAUGAUCCAAAUGACAGUGUUAGGUAAGGUUUUUAUCUUGUUUAAUUAUUAUUUCCUUGAAAAUGCUACAAAUUUGCUAUAUAUUUGAUUUUUGAAAUUUUACAAUGACUAUUAUCAAUAUUGGAGCAUGUUAAUAACAUUUUAUUUAUUUUUUCGUGUAGGAUUUUUGUUUUCAAGGUGACAAAGACAAAUGAAAAGAAUUAAAGAAAUUACAUUUCUUUAUAAUUUCAAUUUGAAUUAUUGUUAUUUGUAAUAUUAAGGAUUUGGUAUUUGUUAUUUGGAUGACUGUAUAAUAUGAUUUGAAUUAUUUGUAUUUUGUUGUGGGAUAUUAAAUUUGUGUUUUUUUUGCUUAAUUUUGUUUAUUAAUUAUAUUUUUCUAAACGAAUUGUAAACGAAUCCUGAUUCGAUUCGAUUCGUUAUGGAUUCGUAAAGGAUAAACGAAUAAUAAACGAAUCCGGAUUCGAUUCGAUUCGUUUAUCAAUUCUAUUAAACGAAUUAAACGAAUUGAACCGAAUAUUCGUUUAAUAAACGAAUCGAAUCCGAAUCUUGAAAUUUCAAUUCUUUUAAUAAACGAAUCGAAUUCGAAUCCAUAGAAUUUUGACCCAAUUCAUUUACGAUUCGAUUCGAAUUCGAUUCGUUUAUUCGUUUUGCCACCCCUAAAACUUACUCAAAAGAAAAUCAUAUUAAGAGAGAAUCAUGAUCCAAUUAGAAGAGUAUGUUUCUUACAUUUCAUAAAUAUUUUUGAACAUCUUUUAAAAUUGUCGGUUCAUUUUAAGGUAAAAUUUCUAACUUUUUGUGGAUGAGUUUUCAUGACUAAUUUGCAUGCAUAUAUAUCUUAAUAAUAUUAAUCAAAUUGAUACGGUGUUCCAUUUGUUUGGAUGGUUAAGAAAAUCUAAGUUUCAGCACAAAUGAUCAUUGGGCUACAAAUCCAACGAUAGACUGGUACUCUCAAUUUAUUCUGCUACCAGAAGAUAGGCCGUCCAUGUGUACACUAUGAAAUGUAAUAUUUUUAUCAUAUUUAGGAGGAUAAACGUCUUAUUAUUUAAGAUAAUAAUUGUUAAUGUGUACAUUAUAAAUACUCAGCAUCUGGUUAUUCUAGAAGGCUCUUUGAUAGGAUUCUAUUGGUAUUUGAAAAAAAAUAUCAAUAUUCUCCCAGUUUAAUUAAUUUUUUUCCAAGAUGUUUAAUAAAUAAAUUUUAAGUAUAAAAAAAUAUUAAUAUUCUCCCAGUUUAAAAAAAUUCACAAAAAUAUUUUUUAUUUUUAAAAAUAAUUACACAAAUUUAUUUUUAUCUUUAUUUAAUUUGAAUUUAACUGCAAGAUUUUUAAAAAUUCAAAAGAAUUUAAAUUAAGAUAAGGUCUUAUCUUUUUAAAAAUAUAUAAAUUUAAUUUUUUAUUGAACAAUAGUUAUACAAUACCUUAUGAUAUUCUUUAUGUUAAAAAGUAAAAAAACAACAAAAUUCACAUUAGCCUUUAAAAUUUAUCAAAAAAAAUAUUUGUAAUUAUUUUUUAAAAAAAAUCAAAUUUUUGUGAUCAUUAAUUCCACCGAAUCAGCGCGCUGGGUUCUCAUUUUGCCGUAAGUCUCAUAAUGGUUGUUCGUGGUGUUGCUUUUGACAGGUAUCCACCUUUGAGUUUGCGACACUAGGAAUUGAAUAAUAAUAAUAAUAAUAAUGGUGAAGCUGACCCAAGAAGUAUCUCGCUGGUCCGCCAUGUCAUUGACGGUGGACAUCCCAUACAUAGCGCAUCCGUAUGUCACAUGUUAGCUCACUGAUUACUUCAGCAAAAUUUAUGACCCCCUCUCUCCACCUCCCUGCUGUCAGCCUGUUCCCGAUAAUUAUUAUUUUUGAGAUGCUCGAAAAUAAUUUUAAAGUUAAAAACUGAUUUUUUUUAUAUAUUAGGAAAAUUUAAAUUUAUUCAUAUUAAUUAUAAAAUAAAAUUAUUUUGAAGAGAUUAUUAUCAUUAUCAAUAAUAUUGAGAUAAAAAAUUAUUAUAUAUAUUAUGUUUAUUAAUAAUUAUUAUAUAUACACAAUAAAAAAUAUUAUACAUAUAUUAAAUAAAUUUUAUUUAAUAUUAUAUCUAAUUUAGAAAUUAUUAAAAUUUUAAUUUAUUCUUUUUUUCAAUAAAUUAUUUCUACAUCACAUCUAAUAAUAAUUAUUUUAAAAAUUAUAAUAUUAUCUAAUUAGUCUUCAUUAUAUAUAAUUUUUCUCGAUUAUGACAUCUUCACUUUAUUAAGGUGAAGAUAUUAACAAAAUAUAAAAAAAAAACACCGACUUUAAUGUAUUAAAAAAUUAAAAUUAUAUUUUUUUAUCCGUUAAUAACUUAAUAUAUUGAAAUCAUCACUAAAUCAGUUGUUAAAUCCAUAAUUACACAGUUACGUUAGCUAUAUCGGACUGCUGAAAGUAAAUGCGGUACCAUAUUAUAGUUGCAACAUAACUGAACCUCACUAAACAAUGAAUAUAUUAUAAAAUAAAAUAUAUUAUAUUAAAUUUUGUAUUUAUAUUUUUUAAUUUAUCUUCUCUUUAAUAUAAUAAAAAAUCUUGAUUAGAAACAUCUGUACACACAUUAACAUUCAUAUGAAGCAUAAACAAAAACUGGUACUUUUACUCGUCUCAUCACAUCAUUCAAACCACUAUAAUAAUGAUAACAUUGCCGUUCUCUCAUCCAAAAUGGCAAAAUCACCAGAAGAAGAACAUCCAGUAAAGGCCUUUGGGUGGGCAGCCCGAGACAGCUCCGGCCAUCUCUCCCCAUUCAACUUCUCCAGAAGGUAAUUAAUAGUUGAGCAUAAUAUAUAUGUGUGAUGCUGCUUUAAAUUUAUUUAAAAUUUUGUUACUGUACGUGUUGAUGAAAUGGUCAUAAACGUGGAUAUGUAAAAUACGGACAGGGAAACGGGUGAUGAGGAUGUGAGGCUGAAGGUAUUGUAUUGUGGGAUCUGCCAUACUGAUCUCCACAACAUCAAGAAUGAAUGGGGCUUCUCUCUCUUCCCUAUGGUUCCUGGGUAUGUACCCAUGAUCUAUCUACCCUUCAAUUUUUGUUUCUUUUGCAUUUUUUUUUGCAUUUGUUUUUGUUUCGGGUCAAACCCAGCUACGCAUGAACAGGCUGUUGUUUCCGUCACGGCGCUCCCUAAUUAUUAACUACGGUACUUGCCUGUGUAUACAGAAAGAGAUUAACCAAGGCCAAGGCUUUGGGAUCUUUUAAUUUGAUACAAAUCGUCCCCAAUCCUAUUUAAUUCUAUCUUAUAUAGAGGUGCUAGUGAAAUAUUGGUAACGAGGGUUUUAAUCUUACCGUUCCAUAUUUGAUGUGAUGAAUAACUGGAAUCUCCUGUUAAAAGUGGCAAACAUAUAUAUUUACGGGUCAUCAUCGUUUAAUAAGAUUUUCUUACAACAAAUUAAACAAAAAUAGAGACACACAAAUUUUAAUGUAAUAUAAAAUAAAAUAUAUUGGAUGAAAAUAUGUAUUUUUCUUAUACAUUAUCUUCAUAACUCUUGGUAGAUUUAUACUCUCUAUCUUAUAAAUAAAGGGUGGAAAUAACAAUUAACUCAAUUAAAGCGUUGUUAGCAUAGAUAUCUUUUUUUUUUCCCAAUAAAAUUAAUUUAUUUCCAUUUGACUCUGUACAAUUUUUAAAUAUUCCAGUGUAGUGGCCAGUGGGGUGCCUUGGCAUCAUUAGAGUGUUGAGAUCACACUAAAGACUUAACCCAUCAAAAUGGUACACCUGUGUAAUUGCGGAAUGGUCAAUUAUGAGAUUUUACUUGAGGGAUAGACGAGGUUGACAAAUAAACGGAGACAUGACUUGUAACUUGAAUUUGCAUUCAAAUGAAGACUUGUAAAUUUUCAAAUUUCAAAUUUCUUUGCUUGAAGAAUUUUAUGAUUGAGAAACUUACUGACAAAAGAAAAGUUGGUGGAGUGGUGUAGUAUAUACGUUUCCAGAAGCUAGCUAGUUAUAUAUUGUCAAAAACAGAAUCAAAUACCUUGUUUCCACUAAAGUAAUUUAUCAUAAACAAAUUGUAUUUAUUUGCAGGCAUGAAAUUGCAGGGGAAGUGACAGAAGUUGGUAGCAAAGUAAGAAAGGUUAAAGUGGGAGAUAAAGUUGGAGUUGGAUGCAUGGUUGGUGCAUGCCACAGCUGCGAGAGCUGUGCCAAUGACCUUGAAAAUUACUGUCCGAAAGUGAUACCCACCUACACUUCCAUUAACACUGACGGAACAAUCACAUACGGAGGCUACUCUGAUCACAUGGUUGCCAAUGAGCGCUACAUUGUUCGAUUCCCUGAUAGCAUGCCCCUUGAUGCUGCUGCUCCCCUGCUUUGCGCCGGGAUUACCGUGUACAGUCCAUUGAAAUACUUUGAACUAGCAGAACAAGGAAAGCAUGUAGGCAUCGUUGGCCUUGGCGGGCUUGGUCAUGUC